UACAUUUCGGUGUAAGGCAUACAAAUUUUUGAGAUUUGAAGGUUAAACAACUGUUUAAAAAUGUAA
rnacentral:tRNA from 1 species